UACGUAGGCAGCAAGCGUUGUUCGGAAUUACUGGGCGUAAAGAGUGUGUAGGCGGUGCUCUAAGUUCGGUGUGAAAUCUCCCGGCUUAACUGGGAGGGUGCGCCGGAAACUGGAGUGCUUGAGCGCGGGAGAGGAAAGCGGAAGUUCCUGGUGUAGCGGUGAAAUGCGUAGAUAUCAGGAGGAACACCUGUGGUGUAGACGGCUUUCUGGACCGUAGCUGACGCUGAGACACGAAAGCGUGGGUAGCAAACAGG
rnacentral:rRNA from 1 species